AUACGUAGGUGGCAAGCGUUGUCCGGAAUUACUGGGUGUAAAGGGAGCGCAGGCGGGCGUGCAAGUCAGCUGUGAAAUCCAUGGGCUUAACCCGUGGGCUGCAGUUGAAACUGUAUGUCUUGAGUGAAGUAGAGGUAGGCGGAAUUCCGAGUGUAGCGGUAAAAUGCGUAGAUAUUCGGAGGAACACCGGUGGCGAAGGCGGCCUACUGGGCCGUAACUGACGCUGAGGCGCGAAAGCGUGGGGAGCGAACAGGAUUAGAUACCCUGGUAGUCCACGCCGUAAACGAUGGGCGCUCGUCGUCGGCGACAGACAGUCGGCGGCCAAGCGAAAGCGAUAAGCGCCCCACCUGGGGAGUACGGUCGCAAGGCUGAAACUUAAAGGAAUUGACGGGG
rnacentral:rRNA from 1 species